rnacentral:lncRNA from 1 species
CUGGACCUUACGCUCUCACCUCAGUGGGAGGACCAAACUCGCCUUCCCACCCUGGGAAAUACCCUCGGUACCUCCAGCCUCUUUGGAAGACGCAGCAGAGUGAAGGCCAGCCAGGUGGCGGCCCCUGAGAAGCAGUGCCUUCCAGAGUGAGGCACCAGGAAGUCUGGGGCUCAGCAGCCAGUGGCCUUCUGGGCACGGAGAGGUCCUGAGGGCAUCUGACCAUCUCUCCACCCGACCCUCACAGGUGACCACCUACUUCAGCCUCAGCCACAGGCUUAGAGCGUCCUCAGCCUCAGCGCGGCUUCUGGAUUACUCGGGAUUGUUCCUGUGCCCUUCCAGGCUUUCUGUGCUCCCUGAAACAAUGGGGCUGGACUGAUCUGGGGAUCCCGCAUUUGCCGCUGGUUUCUUUCUCCUCAUGGGCCCUGAGAGGCCUUGGGGGCCUUGGAGUCAGGCGCAGCACCCAGCUCUGUACCUGAGCUGUGAGCCAGGAUUAAAUAAAUCGGCGGAUGUCUGGAUUUCGUUGAGAGCCAGGGUUUCCCCUGUGGGAGAAGAGAAACGCCCGUGUGGAAUGGAGAGGGAAGAAAGAGCCCCCUGGAAUGAAUGAUAUCAGUGUGAACUCAUGUAACACAGGCACGUGUACGUACGUACGUACGUAAGUACGAAGCACCCACGCAGGCACGGUCCCUCCCGAGGCCAAGCAGCACUGCUACCCUAGUAGUGACGAGCACAGAAGGAAAUUCAUGCAUUAUGGAUGAGGACUAUUUCUUAUUCAGCAGCCAAGACUGGCUCUUCUAUCAAA